CUCUCAGGAUAACUUUAAAAAAACAAUAACGUCCUCUUGAUAUCUGAUAAAAAGCAAAUAUUGUCGAUAUUAUAUCAAUUGUUAAAAUUGUUACAAAAAAAAAAGUAGUACUUAGCAAAUUUUCCACCAAAAACAAUAAAAUAAAGGAUAUGAGUACGUACUAAUAUGUCAAAACAAUAAACAAAGAUGGUGUUGCAAUGCCACCAAGUGGACAGAGUUGUAGAGACAAUACUAGGUGGUCUAUGUCACUUUGAGAAUCUUGUCAAACAUGGAGAAACACAAUUCUUCAAUGCUGGUGCCAAUUCCACCCAGAAUACAACGAGAGAAUAAAGUUGGAAGAAAGAGAAAAAUGGACAAAAAUAAACGUGGGGUAAUUAAAU
rnacentral:lncRNA from 1 species